CCGGAGUUGGCGCGUCCCCGGAAGGGCGGAGCUCGCAGCCGCCUGGGGUUUUGUUCCCUUCGCGAGGGUGCGCAGUGGGGACGAGGCGCGGCCGAAACCCGAGGUCGAGAAGGCGACCGGGUGCCCAGGGCUGGCUGCGAAGUUAGGCAGAGUUAGACAGUGAGAGAGAGAAACAGAGAGAAAGGUUUUCCUUCUGUUGGUUCACCCCCCAAAUGGCCGCUAUGGUUGGCACGCUUAGCUGAUCCGAAGCCAGGAGCCAGUUGCUUCCUGUCCACUGCCCUCCCGUGCCACAGCAGAGAGCUGGACUAGAAGAGGAGCAACUGGGCAGAACCGGUGCCCCAACCGGGACUAGAAUCCGGGGUGCCAGCACCGCAGGCGGAGGAUUAGGCAUGUGAACCACGGCGCCAGCCACUAAAGUAUAAUUUUCAAAAAGUGCCCUCAUAUGGACACCACCUCUCUUGGAGCAUUUUGAACACUGGAUCGCAGGAGCGAUUUUGGAGAGACUCCUGGAUUUGAAAGAAAACCACAUUUUGGAAUAGCCGGCUGUUCAGAUGAUUUCCAUGUAUAGAUGCUAAAUAGUCCUGACGCGCUGUAUGGAGCUGGGCUUCCUCGAACACCUCCGAGUUAGAUAAUUCAGCAUUCCAUGCAGCAGUGAAAAUUUAGCACUUUAAAUCUGGCUGGAGUGUGGAGAGAGACUGGCAUGUUAGAUUUAGUACAACUGUAGAAUUAAUGCUAAAAACUCCCAUGCCACACAGUUUUCCCAUAUGCUACAUAAAAAUGCUAUAUAGUUUCUCACUCAAAAGCUGCUACAUUAGGGUGCUAGCUGAUUUUAUGCCUUCAACUUGCUUAAUGUUUUCAUGUAUAUACAAUAGUUUUACACUAUGUCAGUCAAACAAUCUAUUGCAAAAUAAUUUACAGUAAAAUCAUAAUAAAUGUAUACGGAGUAUUGAUGUAGCAUUAAUUUUCAAACUGUGAAAGUCAAUGAGCCGUAAAUCUGUAAAUAAAUUGGUGAAGCAAAAGACAUAAAUGACAAAAAAAUUAGUCACUGUGUUGUGUAUGUGCUUUUUAGAUAGCUAUCUGGGGAAAAUAUAUGGGAGGAGACUUCAUAAAAUUUUAAAUUAGUGACAUAAAAAUAACAUAAUGCACAAAGAAACUGACUAUCUGCACAAAAUUGUGAGGAGAACCAGCCGAGAACCUGGUUCAUAAUCUUGACUUACUGGCAGCUGAAAGAUACUCUGCAAAGGAAGGCAUCUUCACACUCCCAGGCUUCCAAAAAAUUUUGGAGGCAAAUCUAUAGCACAAUCUAUUUAAUUCUGAGAAUAUCAUGUUUCUGUUUGUGUGCAUAUGUUUGAAUAUCUUCACUAUUUUAAAAGCCCAUGGGAAAGACAUCAGCUUGGCAAUCUAAUGGUCCUAACUCCUGUGGACAUUUGAAUCCUCUGCUACAGGGUUUGUAAGUGAAUGCCCAGCCUGGGUGUGAUCCCCUGCGGUGACGGGGAACUCACUGCCUCCUGAUACAUUAUCAUGUGUUUUGUUUGAGCCUUGACUGGUUAUUUAGAGAUUAUGGCAGUGCUUGUAGUUCAUCUUCUCUUUGGGCCAAAGGAAAGUUUUUUCCUAAGAUCAUACAUACUAGACUCUCAGCAGCCCAAUCUCAAUGGUGUCAGAAGGGCAUAAGAGAGACCAGACAAGAGAGUGAGUAAAUGAGUGAACAUACCAUCGUUGCCAGGAAGAAUCCAAAACCCCUUCAUUUUAACACAUUUAACUGAUAGUGGCUGCCUUCAUUAGUAUGGGGAAAAAUCGAGGUUUUUGUUUGGAAAAUUAUGUCUCAAGGCUGCAGAUUCCCAUCCAGAGUUCUGCGAUCCAGUUGAUUGGACUGGAUUAGAUUUAAUUCAUUUAUGCCGCCUUGACCCAGAGGCCAGGGGAAUGGGAUGCAUCAGGCCCUGUCCUGUGCUCUAACUCCAGAGCGAAAGACAAUGUCAGACCUGACUGCACUGACUGUGAGAGGGUGAGCGAGGCCGCACAGGAAAGCUGGGACUGAGACAGGGCUGCUGUGAAUGCAGUGCCGCAGUACACUGAGCAGCUCCAAGCAUCACCAUUUCCAUAGCCUGCAAUGUGAUUGGCGCCCAGUGGAGCUGUGCAGGACACACCCCGUAUGCAGUAACCCCAGCUGUGACUUGGCAAAGGAAUAAUAAAUGCUUGAAAGGCAAAUUACAAAUGUCUACCAGUUUGAUUAGCAUUAUUUGCUUGUCUGUUCCUAAAAGAGUUAACAGAAUCCUUAGGAUUCUCAAUCCAAUUCAUUUCUCUGAUGGUCUAUGAGUAUAGUCUGUUCCUACAACCCUGGUUUUGAACACCCCCCUAUUUUCCCCCUGCUACAAUGUACAUAAAGAGUGAUUGUCAUUUAAGGCUGCACGUGGGCCAUGUACAGUCCUGCAGUGUGUUCUAGAACUCUUCCCCUUGAUCACUCACUUAAGAAAGCACAAUUGCGGACCUGUGGGUAUCAGGGGAGAGGAGAGCCGCAGGCCUGGUGGGGCGUGCAGUGUCCUGUGAAGAGCAGGGCACACCAAGUGAAAUGGGAGAUGCAGGGGGUGCCUGCAAGGAGUGACUGGUGUUUCAAUCCCAGGUGGACAGCUUCUCUGGCAACAUACCUCAUCUCUCACCUGUGCAUGUCUGAGCAAGGGAGGAGUGAGCAGGAGAGAUGCUGGGGCAGAGACAGGGUCUGGUGGAACAGCCCACAUCCCCAUGCAUCAGGAUGAGGAGACAAGCAUUUCCCAAAGGUGUGCGUGCAACUACCCAUCCAAGAGACCUAUCCUGACUGGAGAUUCCCCAGCACCAAGAGGCUGUGUGUGUCCACUAAUGCUAAGACGUGGGGACAGGGUGACAGAAGCUAAGCUGGAGCUGGGCUUCCCAGGCCUGGGAAUGGAAUUGUGACCACCAAGCUCUCAAAGAACUCACACAGUAGUGUCAGGAGGGAGUAGGCACCUGGGUACCUCCCACAUGGAAGAACCUGUGGUGGUUGUGGUGCUGAACUGCCCAGUCACCAUCCCAGGAAGUGUUUGGUGCAGGGGAACAGUGGCUGACAACCUGUGGCUACCGUGUCUUCAGGAUGCAGUGUCUGAGCUGGGGUGUGUGCUGUUCUUGGGUCGCCCCCAGCCAGUGACAGCACAUGGGGAUACUAAGACCUGGCCAUUUCUGCCCAGACUGUGAGUGUUCCAGAGCCCCCGAGCUUAGCUGAGACUGUGUUCAAACUGUGUCACAGUCCAUGGUUUUCUCUGUUGGGUCCUGCAUCUCUCACCCCACCUUUUAUCUUUGGCAAGUUAAACCCUCGAUAAACCUCAUGUCCUCCUAACUCUGCCACAGCAUUGUCUUGGAGGUCUUGAACUAACACAGUAUCCUCAACCAGUUAGCGUUCACCAGAGAAAUGAUGGCAACUUACACCCCUGCCCAGUUAAACAAAGGGAGCUGCCCCUCAGCCAAGGCCUCAGCUAGACAAAACCCAGAGUGGAGAGGGCAAGGCUUGCAAUUGCUGACGAAAUACAUUUGUUCUGAGAAAGAGAGAAGCUAAGGGACCCGUUUUUGAAUGGCAAGUUCCAGAGGCCAAGACAAAGGAUGGCCAAGCAGUACAGCUCAGAUGCAUGCGUAACACCUGCGUAUGUUGAUGUGUGAGGGGUGCAGUCACAGGCUUAUAGCCAUAAAUGAAUGAGCUAAUUGAACACCAGAUAUUUCUUGGCUCUUGAAUUUUAAUCAUACCGACAGGAGUAUUUCCCUAACAGUAUGAAAAGCUGAUUUCAAACCAACAGCCAAUAAAACACUUCCUAGUAAAACAUGACGAAUAUUUUCAUUAAGAUCAGGAGUGCCACAAAAUGUCCAUAAAUUCCAUUGUUUUAUGAUAUUAUUCUGGAAAUGCUUACCAAUAUGAUGAUGUAUAAAAUAAAAAUAUGAUUAACAAAUUAUGACACACCCAUAAAUGAAAUAUGUUACAGUGGGAUGUUUCUAAGAAUUUUAAGACAUGAGAAAUAUAUAAUUUUAUUGUGAAUGAAAAUUUAGUUUGCAAAACUCUGUGCCCAUGGUCAAAGUUAACCUAGUCAGUCAUGAGACAUUCUGGCCUCUCGUGCCCCUCUGAGGGGGGACAUGGAGACCAACAUCUCAUUACUCAUGGCAUUUGGCAUUUGGGCCAAAAAAAAGCAUCACUUGAACUUAGUCAUGAUGAGGCAUCAAAUUAAGGGAAGUUCUACAAGAUGACCAAUCUUUAUUCAAAAAGGUCAUUAUCAAGAAACCCUAAUAUUAAAAUUUUGAAGAAUCUGGGUGAAGGACAGAAGGUAGUUCUUUGUGUAAUUUUUGCUACUUUCCUAUAAGUCUGCAAUCAUGCAAGUAAACACUUAAGAGAAAAAGUCCUAUAUGAUAUUUGUUUUAUGUUAUGAAGUUAAAAGACUGGGAAGAACUAUACUAGACUACUUUUCUUAGUUGAAACAUUUUGAAAGAUAUUUGGUAUAUUCUGUCUAUGAACUGUGUGUGUGUAUUACACAUUAUAAUAUACAUGUAUAAAAGUCUAUGAUUUUUUAAACAGAGCUAUUUGUGCUUGCAUUUUAAUGCCUGCAGAUAAAUGCCUAUAAAUAAAACAAGUUCCUUUUUUACUUGCCUCUUUGACUCUGCUAUUUUCAAUGUUUUAUAUCAGUGUGAUGAUGAAAGAAUUUUUUUAUCCAAAAUUGAUUUGCAAAUGAUUACUCACUAGCCUGCAUCAAACAGUCAUAUGAGUGCACUGAACUAUGGGGAAUUAUGAUUUUAUUCCCUCCCCUCUGCCUGUAACCUUAUUAAAAAGGCUAACUUUUUACAUUAGUAAUGUUACAUUUGGGUAUAAAAGAGCAGACUAGGCCAGCGCCGCAGCUCACUUGGCUAAUCCUCCACCUGCGGUGCCGGCACCCUGGGUUCUAGUUCCAGUUGCAGCGCCAGAUUCUGUCCCGGUUGCUCCUCUUCCAGGCCAGCUUUGUGCUGUAGCCCAGAAGGGAGUGGAGGAUGGCCCAAGUGCUUGGGCCCUGCACCCACAUAGGAGACCAGGAAGAAGCACCUGGCUCCUGGCUUCGGAUCAGUGCAGCGCGCCGGCUGUAGCGGCCAUUUGGGGGGUGAACCAAUGGAAAAGGAAGACCUUUCUGUCUCUCACUGUCUAACUCUGCCUGUCAAAAAAAAAAAAAAAAGGCAACCUAAAUCAUUUGUGCAUAAUGUCAUGUUCAUGUGAUGUGGUAUGCCUUUAAGUGAAGCAAAGUAUUCGUUGCUAAGAAAUAUCAAAUGUGUGAUUAUUUUUAUAUCAGGCUUUUUAUAAUAAAAUUUCCUAAAGAGGUUGCCUAGCACCUGGAUCCCACAAAAUCCAGGCUAUAGAUCUCAGAUCUACAAAUCAACAAUUUGAUCUCUAUAUAGAUGCAUUUCAUUAUAUGCCUUAUAAUAAAUUUAAAACUCUGCAGGUUUUAUAUUCUUUUCAAUAGAACUAUAAAAUCCUAGUCCAGAGUUGUCAACUCAGCCCCAUGUCUCUGGGCAGAUCCAUAGUUAAGUCACCCUGUGCAGGUCACUAUCCACCCCAGUGAAAGUCUGUGAUGUACUCAGGAAUCCAUCCUUGGAAGGAUCUUUCAUCAGCAACUUCCUCAUGUCUACUUCCUUUCAGUUUAAUCCUACGUCAUCUGACUUUGUGAUCCAUGUAGGAAUUUAUCCUACUGCAGAAAUUCACACAGCAAAUGUCCUUAUGCCAUCGUCUCAUUUUACUCACUAUCAUCCUGAUGGGAAAACAUUGCUUCAUUUCAUAUUCAUCAUUAAUGCUAUUUGCAUUUCCUUCCUUCUGUUCUAUCAGAGUGUAAUGAUUUGCUAUUACAAUGUUACAUUUACUUGGUAUCUGUAUAUGGUGCAAUAUUUUGACAAACCGAAAAGUAUCCUUCAUGCAUUGAUCUAUAAUUUCUGAAUAUACUAGGUUGUAGUAUCUUGCACUCAUACAGAUGACUUAUGUGGAAUUAUAUUACUGAAGAAUGUUGAAAUAGAUGUAGAUCAGAGAAUAGGAUCAUCCAGCGUUUCUCCAUGAUUUCUAGUGAUGCGUCAUUUUACCGAUGUGUGAUUGCUAUCGGUAUAUGGCACAGAAACGAACGUGAAUAAUGAUGUAGUCACCGUGCUUCAUCUCUCAUUCAUAAAAUGCCCCUGCUAGUUCUCUUAUCUGCCUGGACAGCAUGCUGUCCAGAAUUCUCUUUCCCUGCCAAGCUGAACCAGAUCACCUGGGCGUUUCACAGAAGCAGGGCUGAGGAUGAGGGAAGUAUUCAGGGUACGAGGCACAUAGGUACCGGCCCAUGGGGAACAUCAAGAGACAAGUGAAGGGUGCUGGAAGCCACACAAGGAAGUUUGAGUUUGGAAUUUAUCCUUUUGAAGACUUGAUCAAAGCAUUAUGCAGGGAGAUUGAAGGAAUGUUGUGCAGAGUUAGAUUUUAGAAAGAGCUCUCCACACGAGAGCAGUGGAAUUAGAGGGGUGAGUGGGUAGGAGUUGGGAUGCGAAAAAUGGCAAAGACUUGAUCCAUGGCAGCAGUGUGGGAAUGAAGUGAAAGGGCUGGCAUUGAGAAUUUUUAAGGAGAUAGAGUGAAGAAAAUUGGGUGGGUGGUUGAAUAUGGAAAGAGCAAAAGAGAUAAGGAUGACUGCCAGUUUCUGAUACACACCUUGGGAUGUAUGGUGAUGCCAGAGGCUGCUACGCUACAUUGCCUCCCUAAAUCUUACCAUUUGCGGCUUGAGUUAUCAGACGUGAUUCUUUGUUGAUAGUAAUGGACACCUUCUCUUGCUAUCUUGCGUAAAAGAGUAAUUCUGGAAGGAGUGAGUGACAAAGCUUUAAGUUACCCAAUUUCUAUUCUUUUGUUUUUACUUAGUUUUAAAACUCUUGGCACAUGGUCUACAAAAAUAAGGACCACAUUUCCCAGCCUCCCUUGCAGCUAGGUCUGGCCAUGUGAUUAGGUUCUGAUCAAUGGGAUAUAAGUGGACACAGUAUACGCAAUGCACUAGACUUCUUCACUUCUUUCAUUACAUAUGUGAAGACUGGAGCUCCAUCUUGGCCCAUACGUUAGGGAUAGCAAAGCAGAGAGCUUGAAGCAUUCUGAGUUCCAGAUGCCUGUAUUCAAACUGUAGCAGGAUUCGUAUACUGAGACAUGAUACCAAGGCCUCUUAGCUUUGAUUGGAAAGAAAGAAAUUUGUGCCCUGAUUAAGCGCCUGUUAUUUUUGUUACCUGCAACUGAAUCCAUAUCUCAAUA